UCCGGGGUAGACGAAUAGGUAAAGUCAUGAUUUUUUGGUAGUCAUAUUUGGGUGUUCGACUCACCCCUCCGGAA
rnacentral:tRNA from 2 species